rnacentral:lncRNA from 1 species
CCUGUCACUCCGAAAUGCGGUUAUCCUGUUAGCGCCUCUGCGAAUGAACCCACGGUGUAGGAUUCUAUCCUCCUGAUCUCUCCCACCCACCACAUCCUCUCAUCCAAGAAAUCAAGCAAUUCCAGGUGAAAAAAUAAAUAAAAAGGUCAGAAAAAGAACAUCAUAUCCAAAGCAUGUGAGCAACUUUAUUUUGAUAAAUGACUGCUCGCCUUCCUUGGGAGUUGCAAUGUUUUUCAGAGUUCAGUGAUGAACCAGGCACGGGGAGCACGCCUGUAAUCCUGGCACUCAGGAGGCUGAGGCAGUAGGAUCGCUUUGAGUUCAAG